rnacentral:rRNA from 1 species
CCGGAGCCGCAAUGGAUUAAGAGCUUGCUGCUUAUCGAAGUUAGCGGCGGACGGGUGAGUAACACGUGGGUAACCUGCCCAUAAGACUGGGAUAACUCCGGGAAACCGGGGCUAAUACCGGAUAACAUUUUGAACCGCAUGGUUCGAAAUUGAAAGGCGGCUUCGGCUGUCACUUAUGGAUGGACCCGCGUCGCAUUAGCUAGUUGGUGAGGUAACGGCUCACCAAGGCAACGAUGCGUAGCCGACCUGAGAGGGUGAUCGGCCACACUGGGACUGAGACACGGCCCAGACUCCUACGGGAGGCAGCAGUAGGGAAUCUUCCGCAAUGGACGAAAGUCUGACGGAGCAACGCCGCGUGAGUGAUGAAGGCUUUCGGGUCGUAAAACUCUGUUGUUAGGGAAGAACAAGUGCUAGUUGAAUAAGCUGGCACCUUGACGGUACCUAACCAGAAAGCCACGGCUAACUACGUGCCAGCAGCCGCGGUAAUACGUAGGUGGCAAGCGUUAUCCGGAAUUAUUGGGCGUAAAGCGCGCGCAGGUGGUUUCUUAAGUCUGAUGUGAAAGCCCACGGCUCAACCGUGGAGGGUCAUUGGAAACUGGGAGACUUGAGUGCAGAAGAGGAAAGU